AACGAACGCUGGCGGCAGGCUUAACACAUGCAAGUCGAGCGCCCCGCAAGGGGAGCGGCAGACGGGUGAGUAACGCGUGGGAACGUGCCCUUUGCUACGGAAUAGCCCUGGGAAACUGGGAGUAAUACCGUAUGUGCCCUUCGGGGGAAAGAUUUAUCGGCAAAGGAUCGGCCCGCGUUGGAUUAGGUAGUUGGUGGUGUAAUGGCCUACCAAGCCGACGAUCCAUAGCUGGUUUGAGAGGAUGAUCAGCCACACUGGGACUGAGACACGGCCCAGACUCCUACGGGAGGCAGCAGUGGGGAAUCUUAGACAAUGGGCGCAAGCCUGAUCUAGCCAUGCCGCGUGAGCGAUGAAGGCCUUAGGGUUGUAAAGCUCUUUCGUGGGGGAAGAUAAUGACUGUACCCCAAGAAGAAGCCCCGGCUAACUCCGUGCCAGCCGCCGCUGUAAUAC
rnacentral:rRNA from 1 species